rnacentral:rRNA from 1 species
CUCAGGACGAACGCUGGCGGCAUGCCUAAUACAUGCAAGUCGAACGCUGAAGCACUCUGCUUGCAGAGUGCGGAUGAGUGGCGAACGGGUGAGUAACACGUGGGAAAUCUGCCUAGGAGUGGGGGAUAACAUUCGGAAACGGAUGCUAAUACCGCAUAUCUUUUUUGAACCGCAUGGUUCUUAAACGAAAGACGGCUUCGGCUGUCGCUCUUAGAUGAUCCCGCGGCGUAUUAGUUAGUUGGUGGGGUAAAGGCCUACCAAGACCAUGAUACGUAGCCGAACUGAGAGGUUGAUCGGCCACAUUGGGACUGAGACACGGCCCAGACUCCUACGGGAGGCAGCAGUGGGGAAUAUUGCACAAUGGGGGAAACCCUGAUGCAGCGACGCCGCGUGGAGGAAGAAGGUCUUCGGAUUGUAAACUCCUGUUGUUGAGGAAGAUAAUGACGGUACUCAACAAGGAAGUGACGGCUAACUACGUG